UCCAUCGAGUUAUUAAACCUCUUUGAUACUGGCUAGCUAGUAGCCAGUAGCUAUCUAGUGUUUGGGAAAGAAAAGAAAAUUCAACAAGCUUUUGGAACUAAAUAACAGUUUAAUCGUUAAAUUUAUCACCACUGAACUCUUAGAAAUACCGAACAAUAAUACACUAGCAGCACACAUUCAGUCGACGUGGCGCACCAAUUUUCUAGCCUGGAUUUUGAAUCUUGCUUGCAGCCAGAUGGAUGAUUUGCAGCAGACAAUAGAGCUCGGUAGCUAGAUAGCUUAGCUAACUUUGUGACGGUCGUCAAAAGGAGUAGACCAAGGUGCAGCGUGCUUAGGUUUCUGGCUGUAAUGGGUGCCAAGGACCUGAAGUCGACAGUGUGGCAGAUGCUACAUUGUAUUCUGUCAAACAGUCUUGCUGUCACCACAACCUGGGUCGUUUAAGACUAUGUGGGAUUCAAAUGGAUCUCAAUGUUCCUUCACUACGAUUUUGAAUGCGGGAGUUGGCAGCUCACAUGGGAGAGGGAUCCACUGCAGUGAGGGUCAACAUCAAGUCUCGGGCCACCAGUCUCAAAGCCAGCCUCUACCCCCAAGCCACAAGAAUGUUGCAACAGCUGAACCCUGGGCAGAUUACUGCACCACACACUUACCAUUUAUUCAUAUUCUGUACACAAUUAAAUCAGUUUGGUCUCCCGGACAGUUUUGUUUCCCGUGUGUAUCAAGAAUGGUCCACCAACCAUAAUACAUCCAGCCAAAUUGACACAACAGUGGGAAGCAUUGGCAUGGGCCAGUAUCCCUAUGGAAUGCUCUCGACACCUUAUAGAGUCCAUGCCCCGAUGAAUUGAGGCUGCAACUCAGUAUUAGGAAGGUGUUCAUAAUGUUUUGUACUUUCAGUGUAUACUUUCAUAUAAUAAUAUGAUGUAACUACACUCUACUUAUUCCACUCACUAUACACAUGGGAAAACAAUGUCCAUAGCCUAGUAUAUCCCUAUAGGACUUUCCCCCUCCAUCUUAUUUUUAUUUAUGUUUUAUUUUAACUGCAUGCUUCUUGUAUUUCAUUGUCUUUUUAUUAUAUAUUUACAAUGUUGCUUAUUUUAUUACUAUGACACCAUUGCACUGUGUGAGAAGCCUGCAAGUACAUGACAAAAACUGUUUGACUGGAUUUGAUUCGUUGUCACCUGGACUGCCCACUGAUAUUUUGCAAACACAAUAUUUUACAGAACUUUUCCAAAUUAACAUUGAAUACAAUGCACCUUGAAAAAUAAAAAGCAAUAAAUACAGUGGCGUGUGAAAGUA